rnacentral:rRNA from 1 species
UACAGAGGGUGCGAGCGUUAAUCGGAAUUACUGGGCGUAAAGCGCGCGUAGGCGGCUUUGCAAGUCGGGUGUGAAAUCCCCAGGCUUAACCUGGGAACUGCAUUCGAGACUGCAUUGCUAGAGUAUGGGAGAGGGAAGUGGAAUUUCCAGUGUAGCGGUGAAAUGCGUAGAUAUCGGAAGGAACAUCAGUGGCGAAAGCGACUUCCUGGACCAAUACUGACGCUCAUGUGCGAAAGCGUGGGGAGCAAACAGG